AUGUUCUGUGGGUGCCAGAGACCUGGGCAGGGGCUGGAGUUGGUGGCAGCGAUCUGGAGCGAUGGUGGCACCAUGUACGCCUCAUCAGUCCAGGGCCAGAGACCCGGGCAGGUGCUGGAGUGUCUCGGGGGCAUCAACCCUGGUGGCAGCACCAACUACGCGCCGUCGUUCAGGGACCGAGUCAGCAUCUCCCAGGACAACGGGCAGAGCUCGGUUGUUCAUGGGGUGCGGGCGGCCGUGACCCUGCUGGAGUGCGGGGGGUACCUCCAGCCCCCCGGGGGGGCCCUGACGUUUCUGUGCAGAGGGUCCGGGUUCAGUUUCGCGAGUUAUGGAAUGUUCUGGAUCCGCCAGAGACCCGGGCAGAUGCUGGAAUACAUCGCCAAUAUCAGCAGCAGUGGUGGCAGCACCGACUACGCACCGUCGGUCAAGGGCCAGUUCAGGAUCUCCAGGGACAAUGGGCAGAGCUCGGUGACGCUGACCAUGAACAACCUAAAGGACGAGGAUUCCGCCGUUUAUUUCUGUGCCAAACCUGGUACUAGUGGUUAUGGUGGUGCUGCUGCUUAUAAUGACGAUGGCCGUGGUGGAUUCACCCAAUCUCUGUGUCCUCACCUGUCCCCAAACUGA